UACGAAGGGUGCAAGCGUUAAUCGGAAUUACUGGGCGUAAAGCGCGCGUAGGUGGUUCAGUAAGUUGGAAGUGAAAUCCCCGGGCUCAACCUGGGAACUGCUUUCAAAACUGCUGAGCUAGAGUACGGUAGAGGGUGGUGGAAUUUCCUGUGUAGCGGUGAAAUGCGAAGAUAUAGGAAGGAACACCAGUGGCGAAGGCGACCACCUGGACUGAUACUGACACUGAGGUGCGAAAGCGUGGGGAGCAAACAGG
rnacentral:rRNA from 1 species